CCUACGGGAGGCAGCAGUGGGGAAUAUUGGGCAAUGGGCGCAAGCCUGACCCAGCAACGCCGCGUGAAGGAAGAAGGCUUUCGGGUUGUAAACUUCUUUUAUCAGGGACGAAGCAAGUGACGGUACCUGCUGAAUAAGCCACGGCUAACUACGUGCCAGCAGCCGCGGUAAUACGUAGGUGGCAAGCGUUAUCCGGAUUUACUGGGUGUAAAGGGCGUGUAGGCGGGAGUGCAAGUCAGAUGUGAAAAAUAGGGGCUCAACCCAUAGGCUGCAUUUGAAACUGUACUUCUUGAGUGCUGGAGAGGGAAUUGGAAUUCCGGGGGGAGGGGGGAAAUGCGUAGAUAUACGGAGGAACACCAGUGGCGAAGGCGGAUUGCUGGACAGUAACUGACGCUGAGGCGCGAAAGCGUGGGGAGCAAACAGGAUUAGAUACCCAGUAGUC
rnacentral:rRNA from 1 species